GCUUAAGUGGGCUAGGACCUAUCCAAGUAUUACCAUGAAGGCCACUCUCUGGCUAUGAGCUGAGUGCAGCUUGGCAGUAUGGAAUCCACCAAGGCACCAUCUGCAACGUGGACGUCCUCUGUGGUAUGUGCUCCUCUCGUACAUCUCAGUCUGCAGUCCUGCGACCCUCUCCUUCCCAGUAACGGAGCAGCUAUGCACCCACUGAUUUCAGGAUAGAGAGAAGCCUCUUUCUUGCUCCGAUUGCAUCAGCCAGGUGCACUGCAGCCAGGGGUUUUCCCUUAAAACCUUAAAUCCUGUUCCAGCUAAACACAGCCACCAGCCUCCAAGCUCCUGCCUUUUUUUAUUAGCGUUUUAUUUUGAGGAGGGAGGGAGGAGAGGUGACGAUGAAGUGAACUCUCCAUAUUAAAUUGUUAAAUGCCUGGACGCUACUGGCCCGCUUGUAGGUGCAGCCUUGGGUGUUUACCACAGCACAGAAAUUCUGCUGAUCUGGUUGCUGGGACGCAACACAUGCUGCUCUGGGAGCACAGAGGCCUACGCAAGCGAGAAGUUGAGGCUCUAAGAAGCACUAAAUGUACUGGAAGAGAAGAACAAUCUGGUUGUCUUGUCCAGCACGCGUUUUAUAUGUCAGUGGGCUCCGGUCAGCACUUCUUUUCUGGAGUUCACUGAGACCUUCAGAGAGGCUUCUUGUUGUUCCCAGGCAAGUAUCUACUUCUACUCACUGUACCAAACUACUCUGAGAAGAUGAAACAAUGUUUUGAUUUGCUUUGCUUUGCUUGAGGACCUUCUGUCUUUUUCCACCUCUUCUAUAAUGAGCUCUAGAAGCGAAUGCCUCAUUAAUUCUAAAUGGGCAUGUCCGUGUAACCACUCAUCCCUGGUGGCCACAAUUAACCUCCAGCCAGCACAGACUAAUUUUGGCAUUUGGCUCCUUGAUUCUUGCCAUGUUUCCCAGAGAUGCCAGAGGGCUGCAGGAUUCUCACGGUGCCCGGUCACUCCGUACAGGUGUCUUCCUUCUGCCUCCGCCCUACCAGCCUGAAGCAUCCACACAGUAGGCGCCCACCUGCAACCCAUAUUACCAUGUCCUCCUCUGCUUCUCAACCCUUUGACCACAAGUAGUUUUCUUUGUGGGCUUAGCUAUUGAGAGGGGAAUCUGGCUCUCUCAGCAUCUUUGAAUCUUUUCCCACAACAUACAUGAGGAAGUAGCUGAUGAUUUAUUAAGAUCUAGUAAACCAUUAAUUCAGUCAUUCAGGACCCAGUGAAUUCCUUUUGCUGCAUCUUUUAUCAAGACACCUCUGCUCUAUUGACUGAAUGAUUACUUGUUUCUAAAAGUAACUGCAGGUUACCCAACAACCUGAUGUCUGUCUGAAGAAAGACAAAUGGCAGACUGAUGAAUCGAUCUAUCUACCGGUUAACAUGACUGUAAAACUAUUUUAAACAAUCAACCUGUUUCUGCUCCAGGAUUGCUGUGGGAAGCAGCUUUGGGAAAAAAAGAAAAGUACUUCUAAGAUGAAUGACAUAUGAGUGUACUUAUGCAGGCAAUAUCUAGACAAGGGCAACGAGAUGAAUGGGAAAUGCUGGACCAGAGUUUCUGUUCUGGCAUGGAGAUGCUUCUCUACUCCUUGCACGCAAAUUUGCCUUGCUGCCUCUUGAUGUUACGCUCAGAUAGUGC
ensembl:lncRNA